rnacentral:rRNA from 1 species
GAUGAACGCUGGCGGCGUGCCUAAUACAUGCAAGUCGAGCGAACAGACGAGGAGCUUGCUCCUCUGACGUUAGCGGCGGACGGGUGAGUAACACGUGGAUAACCUACCUAUAAGACUGGGAUAACUUCGGGAAACCGGAGCUAAUACCGGAUAACAUGUUGAACCGCAUGGUUCAACAGUGAAAGACGGUCUUGCUGUCACUUAUAGAUGGAUCCGCGCCGCAUUAGCUAGUUGGUAAGGUAACGGCUUACCAAGGCAACGAUGCGUAGCCGACCUGAGAGGGUGACCGGCCACACUGGAACUGAGACACGGUCCAGACUCCUACGGGAGGCAGCAGUAGGGAAUCUUCCGCAAUGGGCGAAAGCCUGACGGAGCAACGCCGCGUGAGUGAAGAAGGUCUUCGGAUCGUAAAACUCUGUUAUUAGGGAAGAACAAAUGUGUAAGUAACUAUGCACGUCUUGACGGUACCUAAUCAGAAAGCCACGGCUAACUACGUG